rnacentral:rRNA from 1 species
UUAGAGUUUGAUCAUGGUCAGGAUGAACGCUAGCGGGCAGGCUUAAUACAUGCNAGUCGAGGGGUAACAUGGUAACAAUACUGAUAACGACCGGCAAACGGGUGCGGGAACACGUACAGAACCUUCCUUUAAGCGGGGAAUAGCCCAGAGAAAUUUGGAUUAAUACCCCAUAGUAAUAUUUGAUGGCAUCAUUAGAUAUUUAAAGAUUUAUCACUUAAAGAUGGCUGUGCGGCUGAUUAGGUAGUUGGUGCAGGUAACGGCUCACCAAGCCUGCGAUCAGUAACUGGUGUGAGAGCACGACCAGUCACACGGGCNCUGAGACACGGGCCCGACUCCUACGGGAGGCAGCAGUAAGGAAUAUUGGUCAAUGGACGAAAGUCUGAACCAGCCAUGCCGCGUGAAGGAUGAAGGCCCUAAGGGUUGUAAACNUCUUUUACAGGGGAAGAAAUGCAUUUUUUCUAGAGUGUUUUACGGAACCCUGGGGGGC